UACGGAGGGUGCAAGCGUUAUCCGGAUUCACUGGGUUUAAAGGGUGCGUAGGCGGGCAGGUAAGUCCGUGGUGAAAUCUCUGAGCUUAACUCAGAAACUGCCAUGGAUACUAUUUGUCUUGAAUAUUGUGGAGGUGAGCGGAAUAUGUCAUGUAGCGGUGAAAUGCUUAGAUAUGACAUAGAACACCAAUGGUGAAAACAGCUCGCUGGGGGUGUGCUGACGCUGAGACACGAAAGUCAGGGGAGCGAACGGG
rnacentral:rRNA from 1 species